rnacentral:piRNA from 1 species
UAAGGACCUGGUCAGCCAGAAUCUCAUCAGU